rnacentral:rRNA from 1 species
UACGAGGGGCUCAAGCGUUGUCCGGAUUUAUUGGGCGUAAAGGGUGUGUAGGGGGUCUUUUGAGUCCUUUGUUAAAACUUCAGGCUUAACCUGAAAGAUGCAAAGGAAACUGGAAGACUUAUGAGGGUGCGAGAGGUCUGCGGAACUCACGGUGGAGGGGUGAAAUCCGUUGAUAUCGUGAGGAACACCGAAGGCGAAGGCAGCAGACUGGCGCAUACCUGACCCUGAAACACGAAAGCGUGGGGAGCGAAUGGG